CCCGCAGUCCGUUGAUUCCCCACAUCUCCGCCGAGCUGCCUCUCUCUCUCUCUCAGUCCGUCCACAUCCGCAGUGAUUUGGCGGCGGCGGCUGACGUGGAGGCCGGAGACCCGUUCGUGACGGGGAGAGCGGGGGAGGCGGGUUCGGGUUCGCAGGGCCCUGCCCUGCCCUCACGCGACCCUGCUCCGGCUGCUCGUGCUCGUCUCUCGCCGCCACCGCCGAUUCGCGCGAGCCCCCCCUAGUCCCUUACACUAGCGGAUCCAAAUGAGCUCUUCCCCGUACGCAGGCGUCCUCCUCUGCUUCCCCAUCCCCUCAGCCGGGGUGCCGGAGAUCCAUCGGGGUCUGCUGUCGCCGUCAUCCGUGAAUCCGACAAGUUGCAAAAGGCUUUGGUCUUGACUUGGUGGAGCAAUGCCUGCUGGUUAUAUUUGCAGGCAACAUGUUUAUACAGAUUACAUUUUCUGGAGACCAUGGCGCCCCGCACCGGAUUCGCCUCCGCCUCCAGGAUGAGGAUCAGAUGGUUCGGGAGAUAAUUAGCAAGCUCAAGUAUUUGGAGAUUUAAUUGCAGAGAGAAGAAGAAGGAAUGGAGAUAAGAAGGAAUGGAGAUGCUGGAAUUCGGCAAGGUGGAGAAUCAAUUGAACUAACAAGCUGUAGAAAUAGAAUAGUUGAAGCUUGGACAGUUCUACUGAUUCUGGUUGUAAUUUGCCAUCUAUGACAAUGUGAAGCAACUGAACAUAUUGUACUGUGUUAUCAAGAAAAGAAAAUUUUGAUCUCAA